UACGUAGGGUGCAAGCGUUAAUCGGAAUUACUGGGCGUAAAGCGUGCGCAGGCGGCUUUGCAAGACAGAUGUGAAAUCCCCGGGCUCAACCUGGGAACUGCAUUUGUGACUGCAAGGCUAGAGUACGGUAGAGGGGGAUGGAAUUCCGCGUGUAGCAGUGAAAUGCGUAGAUAUGCGGAGGAACACCGAUGGCGAAGGCAAUCCCCUGGGCCUGCACUGACGCUCAUGCACGAAGGCGUGGGGAGCAAACAGG
rnacentral:rRNA from 1 species